CUUGUGAGGAGACCUUGAUCAGACCAUAUGUUGCCACAAAGAAUGGAGUCGUGGAUGUCUUCUGCUUCCCUGUAGGGUUAGGGGGCUGAGCCUUCCAGUCUUUUUUACCUGUACAAUACUUCUUCCUUCAAUAUAAUUGAUGCUUUUUCUUGAAAUCUUGCACAUCUUCCUCAUGGACAUGAGCACUGAAAACAUCUUCAUUUCUCCUUUUGAUGUAUUUUCUUUUCAGUGAGCAGUGCUCAGAAGCCUUGGUCUGAAUUCUGGUUUUCUUAUCUCAUAGCCAAAAUGACAUCUAGAGAGCUUCUUGUGGAGGGUUACCCAACCAACAGGCAACGGAAAGCUUUUUAGACUGGCUAGAAAUUCAGAUAUUUUCUCCUUCCAUUUGGUUUCUUAGAUGGGAUACACAUUUAUAUUUUCUCAGCUAGAAAUUUUGUUUUGGCACUGAAUGGCUUUAAAGCACCUCUAUUAAUUCUUUAUAUUCCAUCUCACCUGGUUCCUCUGCUGCAUACUUCAUCCCAUCCACAGCGUGCUCAGAGCCAGCCUCGUCAUUGGAACCCCAGUGGAAGUGAAUCUGGCGCAGCCUGUAGGUCCCACAGAGCGGCCCCCCUGUCAGCACUGAUUUGUUCACAGUGUCAUCAAAUUCAACACUGGUGGAGUGCCCGUUGUUCAGGAUGAUUUUAGCAGAAGCUGGAUCGUAAUUGGGAUUUAGAGGACGGAGAGAGGGGUCAUACUUGGUUUCCUCAGUUUUGAUGUCAAUAGGUGACUGGCGGUCUCCAUUAGCGACAGGAAAAACCUCCUUCCAGUGGGCAGGCCCGUUGUGCUCGUCGUAUCCCCAGUGCAGCAUGGCUCCGGCCUCGGGAUGCGACGGGACGAGACGCGAGACGGGAGAAGCGGCCCCGCCGGCCCCUCCGCCCGCU
rnacentral:lncRNA from 1 species